rnacentral:rRNA from 2 species
UGUCUGUCUGAGUGUCG